rnacentral:ncRNA from 2 species
AGCAGAUAUACCUUCGCUGGUGCUCUCACGAGCUUGAUAGGGAAUCCCGUGCAAACCGGGAACGGGCCCGCCGCUGUAACCCCUCCCCGCCCUGGCGGGGAACCUUGCCGGCCAUGGCGUGUCACUGCCCCCCCCCCACGGGGACGGGAAGACCGCCGGCAAGAGGGGGGGAGUCAGAAGACCUGCCCGCGAAGGACAACAACG